rnacentral:rRNA from 1 species
CUUGCAGGCGGGCUGGACCUCUCGGGGUUACAGCCUUGCUGAAUUAUUCACCCUUGUCUUUUGCGUACUUCUUGUUUCCUUGGUGGGUUCGCCCACCACUAGGACAAACAUAAACCUUUUGUAAUUGCAAUCAGCGUCAGUAACAAAUUAAUAAUUACAACUUUCAACAACGGAUCUCUUGGUUCUGGCAUCGAUGAAGAACGCAGCGAAAUGCGAUAAGUAGUGUGAAUUGCAGAAUUCAGUGAAUCAUCGAAUCUUUGAACGCACAUUGCGCCCUUUGGUAUUCCAAAGGGCAUGCCUGUUCGAGCGUCAUUUGUACCCUCAAGCUUUGCUUGGUGUUGGGCGUCUUGUCUCUAGCUUUGCUGGAGACUCGCCUUAAAGUAAUUGGCAGCCGGCCUACUGGUUUCGGAGCGCAGCACAAGUCGCACUCUCUAUCAGCAAAGGUCUAGCAUCCAUUAAGCCUUUUUUCAACUUUUGACCUCGGAUCAGGUAGGGAUACCCGCUGAACUUAAGCAUAUCAAAAGCCGGGAGGAA